AGAGUUUGAUCAUGGCUCAGAUUGAACGCUGGCGGAAUGCUUUACACAUGCAAGUCGAACGGCAGCAUAGGUGCUUGCACCUGAUGGCGAGUGGCGAACGGGUGAGUAAUACAUCGGAACGUGCCCAGUCGUGGGGGAUAACGUAGCGAAAGUUACGCUAAUACCGCAUACGAUCUGCGGAUGAAAGCGGGGGACCGUAAGGCCUCGCGCGAUUGGAGCGGCCGAUGUUAGAUUAGGUAGUUGGUGGGGUAAAGGCUCACCAAGCCGACGAUCUAUAGCUGGUCUGAGAGGAUGAUCAGCCACACUGGGACUGAGACACGGCCCAGACUCCUACGGGAGGCAGCAGUGGGGAAUUUUGGACAAUGGGCGCAAGCCUGAUCCAGCCAUUCCGCGUGCAGGACGAAGGCCUUCGGGUUGUAAACUGCUUUUGUACAGAACGAAAAGCUCUGGGUUAAUACCCUGGGGUCAUGACGGUACUGUAAGAAUAAGCACCGGCUAACUACGUGCCAGCAGCCGCGGUAAU
rnacentral:rRNA from 1 species